AAGCAGGACUGUUCUGGUUUUGUUACAAAAGCAAUGCUUCUCACAGCAUUAGCAGAUGCAUAAAAGGUCUAGAUCAAGUAGUCAUGCAAGACGAUGAGCAUCUUGUCAUGUGGUACAAGAAAGCCAUCUUCUAAACAAUGUAUCUUUUUGUUUAAUAAAACAGUUUUGACUUUUGCUUUUUUUA